GACGAGCCUCACAAACGUUAUUCGGAAUUACUGGGCUUAAAGGGUGCGUCGGCGGCGCGGAAAGUUGGGUGUGAAAUCCCUCGGCUCAACCGAGGAAUUGCGCUCAAAACUACCGUGCUCGAGGGAGAUAGAGGAAUGCGGAACUUACGGUGGAGCGGUGAAAUGCGUUGAUAUCGUAGGGAACACCGGUGGCGAAAGCGGCAUUCUGGAUCUCAUCUGACGCUGAUGCACGAAAGCUAGGGUAGCAAACGGG
rnacentral:rRNA from 1 species